CCACCCUCCAAGGCUAAAUACUACCUAGUGACCGAUAGCGUAUAGUCCCGUGAGGGAAAGGUGAAAAGAACCCCGGGAGGGGAGUGAAAUAGAACCUGAAACCCUGCACUUACAAGCUGUGGAAGCACAUUUCUUGUGUGACCGCGUACUUUUUGUAGAACGGGCCAACGAGUUACGUUAAGUAGCAAGGUUAAGCACUUAAGG
rnacentral:rRNA from 1 species